GACGAACGCUGGCGGCGUGCUUAACACAUGCAAGUCGAACGGUAAGGCUCCAUCUUGUUGGGGCACACGAGUGGCGAACGGGUGAUUAACACGUGGGUGACCUGCCCUGCACUUCGGGGUAAGCCUGGGAAACUGGGUCUAAUAUCGGAUAGGACCGCACCGGGAGGGGGUGGCGGAAAGUUGUUUCGGUGGGGGAUGGGCCGGCGGCCUAUCAGCUUGUUGGUGGGGUAAUUGCCUACGAAGGCGGCGACGGGUAGCCGGCCUGAGAGGGUGGACGGCCACAUUGGGACUGAGACACGGACCAGACUCCUACGGGAGGCAGCAGUGGCGAAUAUUGCACAAUGGGCGGGAGCCUGAGGCAGCGACGCCGCGUGGGGGAUCACGGCCUUCGCGUUGUAAACUCCUUUCUCCAUCGACGAAGGGUUUAUGACGGUACAUGGAGAAGAAGCACCGGCUAACUACGUG
rnacentral:rRNA from 1 species